AUUGAACGCUGGCGGCAUGCCUAACACAUGCAAGUCGAACGGUAGCAGGCCGCUCGGUCCUGACGUGUGGUGCACGCGUGUGUGUUAUUCCGGAGCGUGUCCCGUGUUGGGGGGUAUCUCCUCGCAAGAGUAGCUCUAACCGCAUACGCUCUAUGAUUGAGAGCGGGGGAGCGCAACGGACCGCGCGCUUGCAGCUGUCGCUGUUGGAUUAGCUAGUUGGUGGGGUAAAGGCUUACCAAGCCAACGAUCUGUAGCUGGUCUGAGAGGACGAUCAGCCACACUGGAACUGAGACACGGCCCAGACUCCUACGGGAGGCAGCAGUGGGGAAUUUUGGACAAUGGGCGCAAGCCUGAUCCAGCAAUGCCGCGUGCGUGAAGAAGGCCUUCGGAUUGUAAACUUCUUUUAUUCGGGACGAAACGACGCUUGUUAAUACCCGGCGCUAAUGACGGUACCGAAAGAAUAAGCACCGGCUAACUACGUG
rnacentral:rRNA from 1 species